rnacentral:misc_RNA from 1 species
UCCGGUUUGUCACCGGCAGUCCCCCGUGAGUCCCCAGCCGAACUGUUGGCAACACGGAGCAGGGGUUGCGCUCGUUGCGGGACUUAACCCAACAUCUCACGACACGAGCUGACGACAACCAUGCACCACCUGUGCCGGCUCCCCGAGGGGUCGGCAACCCUUUCGGGCGCCUACCACCGACAUGUCAAAUCCGGGUAAGGUUCUUCGCGUAGCUUCGAAUUAAACCACAUGCUCCACCGCUUGUGCGGGCCCCCGUCAAUUCCUUUGAGUUUCAGCCUUGCGGCCGUACUCCCCAGGCGGGGUGCUUAAUGCGUUAACUGCGGCACGGAUGGGGCAACCCACCCACACCUAGCACCCAUCGUUUACGGCGUGGACUAC